UGUCUUACGUAUGUACUUGUUAAGCCUUUAAGAGAAAAGUUUACAACUUAAGGAAUUAUAACAAAGAAGUAACACAUAAUAAGUUUACCUUAUUUAGUGUGUAUCAAUCGAGUUUCUGACCUAUCAGCUUUUGAUGUUAGGGUAUUGGCCUAACAUGGCUAUGACGGGUAACGGGGAAUUAGAGUUCGAUUCCGGAGAGGGAGCCUGAGAAAUAGCUACCACAUCUAAGGAAGGCAGCAGGCGCGUAAAUUACCCAAUUCUAAAGAAGAGAGGUAGUGACAAGAAAUAACAAUACAAGGCCAUUUCAUGGUUUUGUAAUUGGAAUGAUGGGAAUUUAAAACCUUCCCAAAAUUCAAUUGGAGGGCAAGUCUGGUGCCAGCAGCCGCGGUAAUUCCAGCUCCAAUAGCGUAUAUUAAAAUUGUUGCAGUUAAAACGCUCGUAGUUGAAUUUCAAAGAAUCAAUAUUUUAAGUAAUGCUUUUGGUUUAAGAUGCUUAGGCAAUACAACGUAUCUGCUCUUUGCAUUCCUUAUCCAAAAUGUGUUCUUAUUAUAAAAAGGAUUCUUUUUAAAAUCUCCUUUACUUUCUUGUACUGGAGAUUUUGUUACUUUGAGUAAAUUAGAGUGUUCAAAGCAAACAGUUAAAGCAUUUUACUGCGUUUGAAUACUACAGCAUGGAAUAACAAAAUUGAACAAGUCAAAACUCUGUUCUUUUUUCUUAUUUUGACU
rnacentral:rRNA from 1 species